CAGGGUCAGACUCAGACUGUUAUCCACGACUUCUAUGAUUUUCUAUCUGUAGAACAGACUGAAACACAACAUGCCAAACUCUGCAUAUGGCUUUCCUACGGAAAUGAGAACAUGAGGUCUGAAGAUGAACAACAGAAAGCAACAGAAAAGUAUAUUCACUAGCUGCACAAAUGCACACAAGAAUCCACCGUUUUACUAUAGAGGAUGUUACGGAAGGGCUCACCCGUGUCAUGUGUGAUGAUCCAGGUAAGGAGAGACACAGAGUCUCCUCUGGUCUCUCCCUUCAGAGAAGGGGAAAAUUGCCGUGGUUGACUGCCACCUGGGGAGGCUUCAAAGAAGGGAUGGACCAGGCACUGAAGAACAACUGAAUAACUAUAGAUUACAAAGGAAAACAGCCCAUAUGUAGGAAUUUCCCUCCCCUAUUUUUAGUUUACUUUUUGCAAUUCCCCCUCCAUCUAAACCUUGAAAAACUGCAGGAAGUGCAGAAGCAUCUUUUGAAAGUACCAUUCUGCCCGUUGCCACGAAGGAAUGGAACCAAUGAUCCCCAGCAAGAGGCAUGAAAAUCAGAAUAAUCCCCAUUCUUUUCCAUUGAAGUUUUUGUAGCAGAUGAAGAGAAGACGAAGAAAACUUCAAGCACCCAUGUACAGAGGGACCCGUGGUCCAGCGUGCAGCGGCGGAGGUGAGGGGAUGGGAAGACACCCACAAGAGGGGCAGCACGUGUGGGGCAUCCGAGCACAGGGGCAGAGGGGGCAUCCAUGCAGGACCCAGAGUUCACGACCUCAUCUGUGAUCGAGAAAUCCUGGAAGCUGCGAAGACCCUGUCUUCACUGAACAUCAUUUGAAACAAAUUGAUAUUUUUGAAUCUUGGCAAUACUCCGGGGACAACAUUACCAGCAAUGAAAUUUCUUCCAAAAAUCCAGAGAAUGCAGUGAGAGACUAAUCUGGGCUCAGUUAAUUAUAUGUUUGUAAAGCACUCUGCGGGGUGUUUUUUUCCCUCACAUAUUUAUUUUUAACACAAACAUAUACACUCAGCUGACGGCAGUGCAACCAUGGUCAUAGCCUCUAAACUCCAUGAGAGUUUAUCACCUGCAUUUAUUUAUUGAGCAUUCAACAAGUAUUUACUGAGCGCCAGCCUGAGACACGCUUGACUCCUACCUUCAUGGAGCUUAAAUUCUAAUAAACGGCGUU